rnacentral:rRNA from 1 species
GAACAUACCUCUGGUGUACCUGUCGUCGUGCCAACGGCGCAGCAGGGUAGCUAUGUAUGGACGGGAUAACCGCUGAAAGCAUCUAAGCGGGAAGCCUCCCUCAAGAUAAGAUUUCAUCGAGCGGUCGUAGACCACGACCUUGAUAGGCUGGAUGUGGAAGUGCGGUAACGCAUGGAGCUAACCAGUCCUAAUUGCUCUUUUCGCGCUUGA